rnacentral:rRNA from 1 species
CAGCGCCACGAGUGGGAACUACAAUUAUUGGGCCUAAAGCGUCCGUAGCCGGUUUAGUAAAUUUCUUGUGAAAUUGUUGAGCUUAACUUAACAACGUGCAGGAAAGACUGCUAAACUUGGGACUGGGAGGGGUUAGAAGAAUUUUUGGGGUAGCGGUAAAAUGUUAUAAUCCCAAAGAGACUACCUAUGGCGAAAGCAUCUAACCAGAACAGGUCCGACGGUGAGGGACGAAAGCUAGGGGAGCAAAACGGAUUAGAUACCCGCGUAGUCC